CCUACGGGGGGCUGCAGUAACGAAUCUUCCCCAAUGGGCGCAAGCCUGAGGGAGCGACGCCGCGUGGAGGACGAAGUCCUUCGGGAUGUAAACUCCUGUCAGGGGUUACCGGAGCCCCAGAGGAAGAGGCGGCUAACUCUGUGCCAGCAGCCGCGGUAAGACAGAGGCCUCGAGCGUUAGGCGGAAUCACUGGGCUUAAAGCGUGUGUAGGCGGAUCGUUAAGUGCCUUGUGAAAUCCCACGGCUUAACUGUGGAACGGCUGGGCAUACUGGCGGUCUUGAGCCAUCUAGGGGCGACUGGAACAAACGGUGGAGCGGUGAAAUGCGUAGAUAUCGUUUGGAACGCCAAAGGUGAAAACAGGUCGCUGGGAGAGCUGACGCUGAGACACGAAAGCCAGGGGAGCAAACGGGAUUAGAUACCCUUGUAGUC
rnacentral:rRNA from 1 species